rnacentral:rRNA from 1 species
UACGUAGGGUGCGAGCGUUGUCCGGAAUUACUGGGCGUAAAGAGCUCGUAGGUGGUUUGUCGCGUUGUCCGUGAAAACUCACAGCUCAGCUGUGGGCGUGCGGGCGAUACGGGCAGACUGGAGUACUGCAGGGGAGACUGGAAUUCCUGGUGUAGCGGUGGAAUGCGCAGAUAUCAGGAGGAACACCGGUGGCGAAGGCGGGUCUCUGGGCAGUAACUGACGCUGAGGAGCGAAAGCGUGGGGAGCGAACAGG